rnacentral:rRNA from 1 species
UACGUAGGGUGCAAGCGUUGUCCGGAGUUACUGGGCGUAAAGAGCUCGUAGGCGGUUUGUCGCGUCGUCUGUGAAAACCAGCAGCUCAACUGCUGGCUUGCAGGCGAUACGGGCAGACUUGAGUACUGCAGGGGAGACUGGAAUUCCUGGUGUAGCGGUGAAAUGCGCAGAUAUCAGGAGGAACACCGGUGGCGAAGGCGGGUCUGCUGGGCAG